rnacentral:lncRNA from 1 species
GGGACACUGAUGGACGCAGCUGUCCCUCAGCCGACAAGUCCAGACCGAAACACCUCACAGGAGACCCGGUUGGGUUUUCCACCAGGAGGGCUCAGGUCAGGUCAGGUGCUUCUGCUAAAUGUGUUGUGAAACCAACAGCCAGCCUUUUUCAGCCUGCCUCUAGACCAGGAGGCAGGAAUGUGCUCGGUAAUGCAGCUGUGGUACUCCCGCCCAUAGACCCCCAGUAGGAGCCAAGCAACCCUGGGAUGAAGGCAGAGUGUGGGCUGGCUGGAGGGCCUGGGAAGGCCGCUGGGGAGGAUGGGCCUUGUGAAGCUGUGCUUCCUCCGAGCUCUAACUUAGAUCACAUGGAGAUUUGGAAGGACUGUUGGUGUGUCUUUCAGGGUGUUGCUAGAAUCAGGGAACGCUAAAGCCUCCAGAGCCACCAAAACUGUCACCACUGGGAACAAAGGCUUUUGUCCCUAGAAAGAAAGAAACAAGUAUAAUUCCACAAUAUGAGAGAAAAGAUCUCAAAUGAGUGAUGUGGACGUCAUUUUGGAAGCUGGAGAGCAGAUAGACCAAUGGCACUUGACUCAGUAGUCAGAGCAGAACCUGAGACCACAAGAGCGGGCAGUGGGAAUGGGCAAGGAAGCCAAGAAGAAGCAAACCAAUUCUAACUACAGCUCCAAAAAGGCACCGGGAUUGGAGGUUCCAGGUACCUCUAAAAACAGGGGUAGGAGGUGGGGACAAAAAUAGGAGGAUCCAUUGAAAUUAUUACAAGGGGUAGUUAUAUUUCAGGAUCCCCUCUUCUCCACAGCUAAGCAAUUGCCUCUACCCUGCCCCAGCAGAAAACUGGAGGUUGAGUCUCCUUCUGAAUGUGGGGCACCAGGUGCAACUGAACAUGAGUGUGUAUGUAAAUGUCCAAGUACUGAAUGGUGACACCCUAUCUCCAGUUUUCCACCUAUCUUGUGCAUGGAAUGUUAAUAGGCAGGAGGUUGGAGGAUUUUUCUCUAGGGAAAUGAAUGAGCCCAAGAGAAAAGAACCAGCAUGAAUGGCCUUUGGGAGUUUUCCAACAAAGAAUUUCCGACCUGAUCACCCUACAGGGAAACGAAAAAGUCAAAAGUUCUCAUCCAUUCACAUGAAGCUUCCAAACAAAGAUUUUAGAAUCUCACUUUUAAAUAGGAAUAAUCAAUUGAGAAUUAUUAGACACCUCAGGAAUGCCUAUGACGUGAAAGACAGUGGCACUAGACUGCCCAACAGUAGCCCCAGAAGAUCAAAGACAAUGGAGUGGUGCCUUCAGGAUGCUGGGAAAUUAUCUCAAAACUGGAAUUCCAUACUCUAUAGUUUACAUGUAGAUAGAAUAAAGACAUCUUCAAGUAUUAUAAGGUCUCAAAAAUUUAAGUUUUAUACACUCUUUCAUAAAAAGCUGCUAGAUGAUGUUCUUCACCAAAAUAAGUCAAUUAAUAAAGAAAGGGAAAGAGAGGCAUUCAUAAAAUAGGGAAUCCAGCAAGAGUGAAGAGAAAAAAUCCAUAGGAUUUCCUGACGGGGAAAAUCCCAGGGCAACAGUGGUGCAGCAGUCCUACAGAGAAGCAGACCAAAUUGGUGCAAGAAGACAGAGGGCUCCAAAAAAGAUGUUUUAUUUGAGGGUGGAUGGGGUAGGGGAUGUGGGUGAAUGUGAGCCACCAUACUGUUUGAACCCAUUGGAGUGGAUUUUUAAUUUAUUUUUAUUUAUUUAGUUUUUUGAGACAGGUUCUCACUCUGCUGCCCAGACUGCAGUGCAAUGGCGCGAUCCUGGCUCACUGCAACCUCCGCCUCCUGGGCUCAAGCCAUCCUCCCAUCUCAGCCUCCAGAGUAGCUGGGACUACAGGUGCACAUCACCAUGCCCAGCUAAGUUGUUUUUUUGGUUUUUUUUUUUUUUUGUAGAGAUGGAGUUUUGCCAUGUUGGCCCAGGCUGGUCUCAAACUCCUGGGCUCAAGCGAUCCACAUGCCUUGGCCCCUCAAAGUGCUGGGAUUACAGGUGUGAGCCACUAUGCCCAGCCUAAGAUUUUUAAAAAAAUUCUCUUAGAUAUAUUGAAGAUGAAAGGUGCAUAAAAUACUAAACAAGUGAAAUAUGGGGCAAUUAAUAACUCUAGGGAAAAUGAACACAAGGAAAUGUAUUAUAGCAUGCAAUAUAGCUUCCUUUGUAAAUAACAUCUACAUGGACAUAAUUUUUAAGAACAUACUAUAUUGAUUUAACCAAAAAAUAGUCAUCUAAUUAUUAAUAUAUUGGGAAGAUGAAGGAAGUAUAUGGUAAAGGGUAGGGCUAGAAGAACAAUAUAGGGGAUCUAACGCCACAUCUUCCACGGUGGAAAGUCAACUGAUAGGUAAGAAGAAGUAGGAACUGAAAAACUAGAAUUUGUGUUACAAGUAUUUUAUUUAGAAAAGAAGAUAGGGUUGGGCACAGUGGUUCACA